UUGGAGGGCAAGUCUGGUGCCAGCAGCCGCGGUAAUUCCAGCUCCAAUAGCGUAUAUUAAAGUUGUUGCAGUUAAAAAGCUCGUAGUUGAAUUUCGGGAUUGGCGUGUCGGUCGUGCCUUACGGGGUAUGAACUGGCGUCGUCGAUUUCUCACCUUCUGGAGAAUCACGAUGCCCUUAAUUGGGUGUCGUGUGGAACCAGGACCUUUACCUUGAAAAAAUUAGAGUGUUUAAAGCAGGCAUUUUGCUCGAAUACAUUAGCAUGGAAUAAUAAAAUAGGACGGCUUGGUUCUAUUUUGUUGGUUUCUAGGAUCACCGUAAUGAUUGAUAGGGAUAGUUGGGGGCAUUAGUAUUCAAUUGUCAGAGGUGAAAUUCUUGGAUUUAUUGAAGACUAACUACUGCGAAAGCAUUUGCCAAGGAUGUUUUCAUUAAUCAAGAACGAAAGUUAGGGGAUCGAAGACGAUCAGAUACCGUCGUAGUCUUAACCAUAAACUAUGCCGACUAGGAAUCAGACGAUGUUAAUUUUUUAAUGAAUCGUUUGGCACCUUACGGGAAAC
rnacentral:rRNA from 1 species